GGGGUUGUGGCUCAGAGGUAGAGUGCUCGCCUACCAUGCGUGAGGCACCAGAUUCGAUCCUCAGCACCA
rnacentral:tRNA from 1 species